UAAACGACUCUCGGCAACGGAUAUCUCGGCUCUCGCAUCGAUGAAGAACGCAGCGAAAUGCGAUACUUGGUGUGAAUUGCAGGAUCCCGCGAACCAUCGAGUCUUUGAACGCAAGUUGCGCCCGAAGCCAUCCGGCCGAGGGCACGUCUGCCUGGGUGUCACUC
rnacentral:rRNA from 2 species